ACUGUCUCUUCGUUCCUGCAGUGUGGUAGUUCUCUAUAUUCAGGAAUGGCAGAAGCAGAACUAUUCCGUUCUUCAAAUCACUCCUCAAGUAUAUGCAGCAUCCAGAACAUUCUUCCUAAAUGAGUUUCUGGAUAUGAUGUAAGCUGAGAAUAUCCUUUCAAAGAGAUCAGAACAUUUUCAGAACAUUUUGUAACAAUAAGUGAAAUCUUUCUUAAAAGAUACUGAAUGCUACAAUGCCUGUUAGUAGCUGUGCAUCUGGCUCAUCUCUCAAUUCAGUGUCUGAAUCUGCUACUAAAACAUGCUGUAUACCAAAGAAAGAAAUAGUAUGUUUGUUUGCAUACUCAGUGCUACACCUAAUUGCUCCUCCUUCCAGGAAUAUCAGACAUAAGGAAUAAGUUUUUCUGUGACAUUAAGGAAGUAAGGCUAAAAGCAGGAUUGCUACCCUGGACUUCCGAAGAGCCAACUUCGACCUCUUCUGGGACCUGCUUGGGAGUAUCUCAUGGGAUAGGCUGCUAGAAUGCAAGGGUGCUUGUGAAAGCUGGCCUACAUUUAAGCAGCACUUCUUCCAUGCUCAGGAUCGGUGCAUCCCUAAGAGUAGGAAAUCGGGGAAGAGGGACAGGAAACCUGUGUGGAUGAGCAAGGAGCUCAUCAAUAAGAUCAAAUCUGUGAUUCUGUGUGAAAAGGAAGAGGAUGGUCUAUGAAAUGUGGAAAAAGGGCCUGUCCUCUUGGGAGGAGUAUAGACGUGUUGUCAGGCCCUGCAAGGAUGCGACGAGGAAGGCUAAAGCCCACCUAAAGGCUUGCAAAAGAGAUAAAGGAUAACAAGAAGGGUUUUUCAAGUAUGUAAACAGCAAGAGGAAGACUAGGGAUAAUGUGGGUCCCUUGCUGAAUGAGGGGGGCGUCCUGGUCACGGGAGACAUUGAGAAGGCAGAGAUACUGAAUGCUUUCUUUGCUUCACUCUUUGCCCCAAGGACACUCCCCCAGGACUCCUUGCCCCUGACAAUAGCACAAAGGGUCUGGGAAAUGGAGGGCUCCCUCCUGGUGGACGUGGGAGUGGUUCGGGACCGUCUGAGUGGGGCUCAACACAUACAAAUCCAUGGUACCGAUGGGAUGCAUCCGUGUGUGCUAAGGGAGCUGGCAGAGGUGAUCGCUGAACUGCUCUCUAUCAUCUUUGAAACGUCCUGGAAAACAGGAGAGGUGUCUGAAGACUGGAGGAUA